UACGUAGGGACCGAGCGUUGUCCGGAAUCAUUGGGCGUAAAGAGCGUGUAGGCGGCCCCUUAAGUCCUGCGUGAAAUCCUGCGGCUCAACCGCAGACGGUCGUGGGAAACUGGAGGGCUAGAGUGCGGGAGAGGAGAGUGGAAUUCCCGGUGUAGCGGUGAAAUGCGCAGAUAUCGGGAAGAACACCCGUGGCGAAGGCGGGUCUCUGGGCCGUAACUGACGCUGAGGUGCGAAAGCGUGGGGAGCAAACAGG
rnacentral:rRNA from 1 species